rfam:Imperata yellow mottle virus ORF1, ORF2a, ORF2b and ORF4, genomic RNA
GAAGGUGAGCCUUUAAACUACCAGCGGGCGGACCUCCUACGGGAGAGUCCGCCCUUGGAAGGCUUAUUCAGCUUGGGAA